UCCCGACGCCCGAGCUAUCGUUUGCUUCACACUGACAUCAUAGCGGAUUACAAUGUCAAAUAUUUUGGAAGCAGAACUAGCCUCCGGUUUUACACCCCGUGAGAGAGAUUCGUCGUUUAUAUUCCAGUCAUUUGUAAUAUAAAGUUGCAAUAUUUUUCGCAUGAAACAUUUCUGGGGGAUGGAAUGAUGCAUUCAAGUUAAGGUCUAUGUAACAGAGAGUGGGUCAGGUCAGGGAUGCUGCAGCGUCGGAGGGAAUCUGACUCUCAUGGCCUGUUUUCAUCUGGAGAGACCUCCGACAAUUACUGUGAGAUGGGGGCAAGUUGUGGAGAAGUUGGCGUAGUGUGUUUGUGUGAGACUGGACCCUGCACACUAUACUCUGAAGCACAUACACAGACGCCGCACACACUGAAAUGUGAACACUGUGGGAAAAACAGGGUAGUGAUAACCAGGUACUCAGAGGGAUAUGGCACAGAGGUGGCUGAAACCAAUGAGUGAUUGUACUGCACACGUGUACGUGUGGCUAAUUCAUGUGACUCAUACUGUGCAGGAAGAGUGUGCCCUGUCCGAUCCUCAGGGUGACAGCGAUGCAGACGCUGACAUCGAGGACACAGAUUGCAGACUACAGGAGCCAGGUUCUCUCCAGCGAAUCAGUUCGCGGAGACGGAAGCGACCACGAAUAGCACGGCAGGACACGACGGAGAGUGAGGACGAUGGGGGGAGGAGUCACAGGAGUCACCGCUGGAACCUCAGACUCAGUCCCCACCGGGCUCACAACAGAACCUUACUAGAGGAGAGUGUAUCACAGGUCAGACCGUUAGUGAUCUGUCGGCCCAGUGUCAGAGGAGACGGUCAGGGGCCUCCAGUCGAAGGGCCCAGAACUGGCCCAAAAUGGCUCUGGUUCCUGUGGCCCUCGUCUCUCUCCCUGCCUGUCGUUCUCCUCCUCUCCAUCCCCCUCUCUCUCUCCUUAGUCAUCAUCAUCAUAUCUUUCCUGAUGCCUCGGGCCAGUACUUGACCACACUUCUCUGUUUUAUUAAUUCAUUGUAAUAUUUUUCAUUGAGUAAUAUAAUUAUGCUUUAAUCACCUCGCGUCACCGCAUCAUGUUGUUAAUUCAUGUGUGUAUACUGUAAACAAAUCAUAUUAGACCAGAAGCCAUAGCAGCAUCAGACCAUAAGCCAUAGCAGCAUCAGACCAUAAGCCAUAGCAGCAUCAGACCAUAAGCCAUAGCAGCAUCAGACCAUAAGCCAUAGCAGCAUCAGACCAUAAGCCAUAGCAGCAUCAGACCAUAAGCCAUAGCAGCAUCAGACCAUAAGCCAUAGCAGCAUCAGACCAUAAGCCAUAGCAGCAUCAGACCAUAAGCCAUAACAGCAUCAGACCAUAAGCCAUAACAGCAUCAGACCAU